AAAAUGUCAUGCCGUAUGUAAACAGACGAUAGGCGAUAUUAAGCGAUGGAAGACGAUUCGGAGGUUCAAGAUGACCAACAGGAGGAGGACUGGUAUCAAAAUGAUCUACAACUGGCUGCAGAGCUUGGAAAAGCCCUUCUUGAGAGGAACCGCGAAUUAGAGGCGCAAAUCAUCCAUCUCCAACAAAUUAACAAUGAACAAAACCUGGAAAUUGAGUAUAUCACGCGGCAACUGGAGACUGUCAGGGACAGUAGUGAAUCACGCAUGCGUAUUUACGAGGAGUUGGACAGGACGUCGCAGGACCUGGAGAAGACAAACCAGAGGCUGCAUAUUGAUGCCAAAACAGACAAGCAGCGGAUAGAAAAAUUGAUGACUACCGUUUUGCAGUUGGAGGAAAAGUGUGACAAUUUGGAAAAAAAGGUUGAAGAUAUGAAGGCCGAGGAGAAGCGUUUGAAACAGAAACAACAGAAGCAGGAUAGCAGACGAGCUGUGAGUCUCGCGAGUCUCCGCGAGAAGGAGCGAGAUCCUUAUUUGAAGGAUAUCAUGAACGAGGACUGUCACUGGACCUAUAACAAUCAGUUCAAGAAACUACCUCUGAACCCUUACGAACAGGAAAUCAAAAAUCUCCAAGAGGCUGUCAAGCAGCUCAAAGCGCAGGCGCUAAUUGAU
rnacentral:misc_RNA from 1 species